rnacentral:lncRNA from 1 species
AUUCUCUUCUUGUCACAAGAGGUUUUCAAAAGGAGAAGUUCUGACAGUGCUCACAUAAUCAACAGGAAAGUGAGAUGAACAAUACCGUUUAAAGUUACGACAAGGUAUUCUCAUUCCCAUUUUCAGGUACAAUGGAGACCCAAAAACCAACGUUUAGUAAUAAGCCUAAGCCUGAGUGCUGGGGUGACGGUAGCUCGACCUGACCAGUUAGCAUUACAAGAGCGUCAAGCUCAUUAACUUGUUAGAACAUUUGUUUCCAUUAUUAGUAUAUAAAUCAACUUUCAAUCCCCCAACAUAAGCAGAAUUGAUCUCAAACUAUAAAUAUUAUUUCCACAUUAUAUGCCAAAAAAGGAAACUGAUUUAUUCAACGGUAAUAUGUAAGUGAUAAAUGCGCUUCUGCGGCUAUGGACAACACAUAUAAAUAAAUUUUUUUGAAGGAAAAAUAUGCGAGCAAUGAUCAAUAACUAAAGAAAUGGGAAAAGACAAAACGAGAAAUGAUUCUUAAAAUAUGAGCAAAAAUCAAUGAACUACAACCAGAAAGUUACCUUUAUAUGUUCCUGUUAUAUUCCAAGAAGAAAAUGGGCCCAAUUCAUGCUCUUCCUUGCUUUCAGGAAGCCACUGCAAGAAGCGAAGGGAUAGAAAACAAGGCAUUAAAAUGAAAUAGGACAAAAGCGAAGCCCAGAGGAGGAAGCUGUGAGCAAUAAAUCUCAAAGACCUAUAAAAAUGAAAUGUCUUUACAUAUACCCAUUAUUUCAAAUAAAAUAUCAAUAAAUUGUGUAAGCGGUCUUAUAGAACAAAACAAAGCAGAAGACUCGAAAUUUUGCAAAUGUUUGAAUUAGAUUUAUUUGAAAGAAGACAGCAAAGAUCCAAAAUUAGGUAAGAAUUUCACUGCAACAAUAAUUAAUUCAAUUCAACAAAACAACUUGCCUUCUACGGAUAAUGUACAGAUCAAAACCUCUAAACCCUAUACAUAAAUGUCUGUUUUUCUUCCUUAAUUAAUUUGUAUAAAGCAAUGUCACCAAUUU